UACGGAGGGAGCUAGCGUUGUUCGGAAUUACUGGGCGUAAAGCGCACGUAGGCGGCUUUGUAAGUUAGAGGUGAAAGCCCGGGGCUCAACCCCGGAAUUGCCUUUAAGACUGCAUCGCUUGAAUCCGGGAGAGGUGAGUGGAAUUCCGAGUGUAGAGGUGAAAUUCGUAGAUAUUCGGAAGAACACCAGUGGCGAAGGCGGCUCACUGGCCCGGUACUGA
rnacentral:rRNA from 1 species